rfam:Picea glauca, whole genome shotgun sequence.
GCAGUGCACUCCAACCUUAACUGGCUUAGUUGCGAUUAUGAUGAUGUUACUUUGACAAAAUUAGAGUGCUCAAAGUAAUUGUAUACUCUUAAUACAUUAGCACAAAAUAAUGUGAUAAGAAUCCCAUCCUACUAUGUUGACAUUCAAUCCAAGAUUAGAGUAAUGAUUAAAUAUAGGGACUAUUGAUGGCAUUAGUAUUUCAUAUCAUAGGUGAAAUUCUUGGAUUUAUGAAAGAUGAACCCUUGUAAAAGAAUUUUCGAAGGAGGGUUUCAUUAAUCAAGAUUGAAAAUUAGGGUUGUGAAGAUGAUCAUAUACCAUCCCAGUAUCAACCAUAAAAAAUAUUGAGUAGGGAUCAACAAAUGCUAUUGUAAGGACUCUAGUAGAAACUUUUGAGAAAUUAGAGUGCUUGGGUUGUGAAGGGAGUAUGGUCACAAGGUUGAAAUUUAAUGGAAUUAACAUAAGGGAACCGACAUAAAUGGAUCUUGCAGCUUAAUUUGGCUCAACAUGGGAAAACUUACCAAGUAUAUACAUAGGAAGGUUUGAUAUAUUCAAAGAUAUUUCUUUAGGGCCUUGACCUUGUGACUCAAGUAUACUCUCCCCAAAAUUGUUUGACCUAAUCAAACCCAAUUCAUACAUGGUAGGUAUAUCCUUAAGAAUGUCAUUGCAAUUUGGGAGGGAAUGGAGUGGGAUAAAUCAUAUGACUUCAAUGCCUUGUUUAUCAAAAUUGAAUUUGAGAAAGCUUACAAUGAGGUCCAAUGGACCUUCAUCUUGGCAAUGAUUUACGCUCUAGGGUUCACCC